AUCGAAGAAAAAGAAGAAUUCAACUAUGUCUUUAUUAUCAGGUAAAUGGGAUUAUAUCACAUCCAACAUGCCAUAUAUUCUACUUACGGAUAUUAUGAAAGAAUAUAAUAAGGAUAGAACAUGUAAUACUGAAAUUUCAGUAAAUCAACAGAUAUUUUCAGAUAAUAUUAAAGGAGCAGGCAUGACAAUGGUCCACGAAUUUUGGGAAAUAAUUAGACAUAUUUUUGCA